rnacentral:lncRNA from 1 species
UUGGGUUCAAGUCUGGGCUCUGGCUGGGCCACUCAAGGACAUUCAGAGACUUGUCCUGAAGCUACUCCUUUGUCUUUUUGGCCAUGUACUCAGGGUCAUUGUCAUGCUGGAAGAUGAAGCGUCGCACCAGUCGAAGGUCUUGAGCGCUCUGGAGCAGGUUUUCAUCAAGGAUUUCGAUGUACUUAGCUGCAUUCAUUUUUCCCUCGAUCCUGACAAGUCUCCCAGUUUCUGCCAUAGAAAAACAUCCCCACAGCAUGAUGCUGCCACCACCAUGCUUCACUGUAGGGAUGGUAUUGGCGAGGUGGUGAGCGGUGCCUGGUUUCCUCAAGACAUGACGCUUGGCAUUCAGGCCAAAGAGUUCGAUCUUCAUUUCAUCAGACCAGAGAAUUUUGUUUCUCCUGGUCUGUGAGUCCUUCAGGUGCCUUCUAGCAAAGUCCAAGCGGGCUGUCAUGUGUUUUUUCACUGAGGAGUGGCUUCUGUCUGGCCACUCUACCAUAAAUGCCUGACUGGUGGAGUGCUGCAGAGAUGGUGGUCCUUCUGUAGGGUUCUCCCAUCUCCUCAGAGGAACGCUGGAGCUCUGUCAGAGUGACCAUCGGGUUCUUGGUCACCUCCCUGACCAAGGCCCUUCUCCCCCGCUUGCUCAUUUUGGCUGGGCGGCCAGCUCUAGGAAGAGUCCUGGUGGUUCCAAACGUCUUCCAUUUCUUAAUGAUGGAGACCACUGUGCUUUUUGGGAUCUUCAAUGCAGCAGAUAUUUUUCUGUAACCUUCCCCAGAUCUGUGCGCCAAUACAACCCUGUUUCAGAGGUCUACAGACAAUUCUUUGGACUUCAUGGCUUGGUUUGUGCUCUGAGGUGCUCUGUCAGCUGUGGGAUCUUAUAAAGACAGGUGUGGCUUUCAAAAUCAUGUCCAAUCAGCUGAAUUUGCCACAGGUGAACUGCAAUCAAGUUGGAGGAACAUUUCAAGGCUGAUCAGUGGAAACAGGAUGCACCUGAGCUCAAUUUUGAGUUUUAUAGCAAAGGGUGUGAAUACUUAUGCAUAUGCAACAUUUGAGUGUCUUAUUUUUAAUAAAUUUGCAAAAUUUUCUAAAAAAGUUUUUCACUUUGUCAUUGUGGGGUAUUUUGUGUAGAAUUUUUGAGGGAAAAAAGGAAUUAAAUCCAUUUUGGAAUAAGGCUGUAACAUAACAAAAUGUGGAAAAAGUGAAGUGGUAUGAAUACUUUCUGGAUGCACUGUAUGUAUAUAUGUAUAUAUGUAUGUGUAUAUAUAUAUAUAUAUUUUUUUUUUCUUUCUUUUUUUUUUUUUGGUGUUGUUGUCUGUUGUCUUUGUUGUGUAUGUUCAUAGCUUGUUGAAUGUGUUUUGUCCCUUUUUUGGGGGUUUAUAAUGUAUUUUAGGACCCCCUCGAAAACAAGAGGAUUUCUCUCAGGGAGUUUAUCCUACAAAAUAAGUUUCUGAUGAUGAUGAUGUGACCGUUGAUUGAAAUGUUUGCUUUGUGGUUGAUAAGAAAAAAUAUGCUGAGUCACGUUUGGACUGGACCCUGAGCUUAAAUGAUCAAUCUAAUGUUGAUUCAUCAAGUUUUACCAUUACUGCGCUGUGUUAUUUCAAGUCCAGCAGCGACUGUGUGAACAGAGGUGAUGGUGUGGCUGCUCAGGUGAGUGAACACAUAACGGUGUUGUGUCCCCCCACCCCAACCG